AUGUUUUUAUGUGUUUGGGUGGUCAAGAAUGUACAAUCGAUGAGGCAACGAGGUGAUGCCAAAAAAAGAUCCCAACAAGCCAACCCCACCAGAGGUGAGAGGUCCCUUUCAAAUCCAUUUUCUUGCUGUGAGAUACACCAUGGAUCUCACUCCUCCAUCAUGUGUCUGUGUUCCCAUGGUUUAGUGAGUACGUCGCUUGGCCAUAGUGAGAUCAAGAUACAAAAUAAGGCCAAGUCUCAUAAGUCUCACAUGCAACUACCCAAAACCACCCCAAAAUUAGUUGGGCUAAUUCUUUCCCAAAUGGCAUCAAGACGUUAA
rnacentral:rRNA from 1 species